rnacentral:rRNA from 2 species
CCCUGCUCAGGACGAACGCUGGCGGCGUGCCUAAUACAUGCAAGUCGAACGAACUCUGGUAUUGAUUGGUGCUUGCAUCAUGAUUUACAUUUGAGUGAGUGGCGAACUGGUGAGUAACACGUGGGAAACCUGCCCAGAAGCGGGGGAUAACACCUGGAAACAGAUGCUAAUACCGCAUAACAACUUGGACCGCAUGGUCCGAGUUUGAAAGAUGGCUUCGGCUAUCACUUUUGGAUGGUCCCGCGGCGUAUUAGCUAGAUGGUGGGGUAACGGCUCACCAUGGCAAUGAUACGUAGCCGACCUGAGAGGGUAAUCGGCCACAUUGGGACUGAGACACGGCCCAAACUCCUACGGGAGGCAGCAGUAGGGAAUCUUCCACAAUGGACGAAAGUCUGAUGGAGCAACGCCGCGUGAGUGAAGAAGGGUUUCGGCUCGUAAAACUCUGUUGUUAAAGAAGAACAUAUCUGAGAGUAACUGUUCAGGUAUUGACGGUAUUUAACCAGAAAGCCACGGCUAACUACGUGCCAGCAGCCGCGGUAAUACGUAGGUGGCAAGCGUUGUCCGGAUUUAUUGGGCGUAAAGCGAGCGCAGGCGGUUUUUUAAGUCUGAUGUGAAAGCCUUCGGCUCAACCGAAGAAGUGCAUCGGAAAUCUGGGAAACUUGAGUGCAGAAGAGGACAGUGGAACUCCAUGUGUAGCGGUGAAAUGCGUAGAUAUAUGGAAGAACACCAGUGGCGAAGGCGGCUGUCUGGUCUGUAACUAC